UCUCUGGUAGUAUAUCGGAUAGUACACCCGCCUGUCAUGACUGUCAGUCGCGGUGCGCGGGAGAGCGGGGUUCGACUCCCCGCCAGAGAG